GCCGAGCGGGCCGGGCGCCGCCGCGGGAGGUUCUGGAAACGCCGGGAGCUGCGCGUGUCCAGAAGCUGCGUGGACCUCUGGUAACUAGUUAACUAAUUCAAACGGACCCUUCGGUGUGUCAGAAACUGCAAGGAGUUGCUAGCUCAGUGCAGCAGACAGAUUGAAGACUGGGAAAGUCCAGGUCCAAAACAGUGUGCUGUCACUUGAAUGCCUUGCAGACACUACUCUCUGUGACCAUGAAACGCUGGGUGUCCACAUUGCUCGUGGCCUGGUUUGCUGUCCUGGGCCAUGUGCAGGCUGAAUUCUUCACUUCCAUUGGGCACAUGACCGACUUGAUUUAUGCAGAGAAGGACCUGGUACAGUCUCUGAAGGAGUACAUCCUUGUGGAAGAAGCCAAACUCUCAAAGGUUAAGAGCUGGGCGGACAAAAUGGAAGCCUUGACCAGCAAAUCAGCCGCUGACCCUGAAGGCUACUUGGCCCACCCUGUAAAUGCCUAUAAAUUGGUGAAGCGGCUGAACACAGACUGGCCUGCGCUGGAGGACCUUGUCCUGCAGGACUCAGCCGCAGGUUUUAUUGCCAACCUCUCUGUGCAGCGGCAGUUCUUCCCCACUGAAGAGGACGAAAUGGGAGCUGCCAAGGCCCUCAUGAGACUUCAGGACACAUACAAGCUGGACCCAGACACCAUUUCCAAAGGGCAACUUCCAGGAACCAAGUACCAGGCAGUGCUGAGUGUGGAUGACUGCUUUGGGAUGGGCCGCUCAGCCUACAAUGAAGGCGACUAUUACCAUACGGUCCUGUGGAUGGAGCAGGUGCUGAAGCAACUCGAUGCUGGGGAGGAGGGCACCACAACCAAGGCCCAGGUGCUGGACUACCUGAGCUAUGCUGUUUUCCAGUUGGGUGACCUACACCGUGCCCUGGAGCUCACCCGCCGCCUGCUUUCUCUUGACCCGAGCCAUGAACGAGCUGGAGGGAAUCUGCGGUACUUUGAACAGUUGUUGGAGGAAGAAAGAGAAAAAAUGUUGUCAAAUCAGACAGAAGCUGGGCUAGCAACACAGGAAAGCAUCUAUGAGAGGCCUGUGGACUACCUGCCUGAGAGGGAUAUCUAUGAGAGUCUCUGUCGUGGGGAGGGUGUCAAACUGACUCCCCGGAGGCAGAAGAGGCUUUUCUGUAGGUAUCACCAUGGCAACAGAACACCACAGCUUCUCAUCGCCCCCUUCAAAGAAGAGGAUGAGUGGGACAGUCCGCACAUCGUCAGGUACUAUGAUGUCAUGUCUGACGAGGAAAUCGAGAGGAUCAAGGAGAUCGCAAAACCCAAACUUGCACGAGCCACUGUUCGUGACCCCAAGACAGGCGUCCUCACUGUGGCCAGCUACAGGGUUUCCAAAAGCUCAUGGCUGGAGGAGGAUGAUGACCCUGUUGUGGCUCGAGUGAAUCGUCGGAUGCAGCACAUCACAGGGCUAACAGUAAAGACUGCAGAAUUGCUUCAGGUUGCUAAUUAUGGAAUGGGAGGACAAUACGAGCCACACUUUGACUUCUCUAGGGUAAGGCCCAGACCACGGGUGCUUUCAGAGGCCCUGCUCCAGCUGGUGAGAGAAAGCUGGAGCUUCUAGGAGCACUUCAACCUCUACAUCAGGCCCCCCUGCCUUACCAGGACCACCUGUUUGUUACUGGAGAAGUCCAAAUCUGGAAGCAUGGGACCUGUGGAGCCCAGUGCAGCCUGGCUGUUUCCCUGUGAUGUGGGGAGUAUUCCCCCUGCCCCAACUGUCACUUUACCAUGAUUGUAAAGCAUAGAACCUCACUAGGUCUUAGUGAAAGCUGUUCCUGCCCCCCUUCCCCUGUGCCCCAGUCAGGGUUUCCUUUGCAGUAAUGAUCCAUGGUCCAGGCUGAUAUAUGGAAUACAUGCUGAGUGCCCUUCCUUGAUCCUUUUGGCCCCGGUCCUGUGAGUGGGGGGUGGAAUCAUCUGCAAACGUGUGUGAAAGUUGUUGUUUGUUGCAGCGACCUUUUGACAGCGGCCUCAAAACGGAGGGGAAUAGGUUAGCGACGUUUCUUAACUAUGUAAGUAUUCGGGCCAGGUCCACCUGUUCAUUCUCACUUAAUUUUAUAGAAAAAUGAGCAAGAUGCUUUCAAGCGUUUAGGGACGGGAAACCGUGUGGCCACGUUCUUAAACUACGUGAGUAUGAUGCAUGCAGCUUAUGGGUCUUCAGGGGAAACUGGGUCCAGAGUGCUAUCUUACAUUCAUUUCUGUGAGGCCUGAUAUCACCAGCUGUUGCUUAAUGGCUGAGCCCUUCUGGCCCUCAGCUCUCUUCUUGGCUGGAGUAGAGAGUUUACCUUUGUUCCCAUCUGUGUGCUUAGCCACACCUAUGACUUUCACAUCCUUGACCCUUUUUAAUGGGCCCACUGCUAGUCAGAACUUUUGAGGUGAGUGCCCUGGAGUGUUCUUUCCUUGGUGGCAGAGUGGGGAGCCUGCCAUGAGGCGCUUUUAAAUGAAAGCUGCCUUUGUUUACCCAGAACUCAGUGCCCUGCCUCCCACCUGCUGCCUGUGCUCCAGCCACAUGCCAUUGGGUUUACCUGUCACGUGAGGAACAGUUUGCUUUCCCCUAUGCUUGGCCCACUUUAAAGAGGCAUACAGACUGUCAAGUAACUUAGACACAGAAACCGAGGUCCAUCUUUUCCUUUGGUAUCUCAUUUAAGUGUUUGUGUAUGUUUAUUAUGUCCCGGGGAUGGCCAUGAACAUGCUGGUGAACAGGACACGUGUGGCCUCUGGUGGGGCUUAUGGUCUAAUAUGAGAGACUUGCUUUAAACAUAGAAGUAAUUAUUUAGUUACCAUGGUGAUAAGUGCCUUAAAAAAGAUGAGGUUCAGAGACAGCCUCACUGGGGAGUAAUGUGUCUGUGGAGACUUGAAGGUUGAGUGGAAAUUAGUUGGUGGAACAUGCUUCCUGGCAGAGGAGUGAAUGUGUGGAGACCUGGAAGAGGAAAGGAGCUGGGGAUGUUGGAAAAUGGAAGAAGGCUGUUGUGACUCAGAGGCAGUGCAUGAGAUGAGUGAUGUGGAAGCUGGCGGUGCCACUGUUUUUCCUGAUCUGGGGGCUGCCAUUUGGCCUAAGAAGGGCACAGCUGUAUUCUGGUACAACCUCCUGCGGAGUGGGGAAGGUGACUAUCGUACGAGACAUGCUGCCUGUCCUGUGCUUGUGGGCUGCAAGUGGGUCUCCAAUAAGUGGUUCCAUGAACGAGGACAGGAAUUCUUGAGGCCGUGUGGAUCAACAGAAGUUGACUGACUUCGUUUUCUGCCCUUCUCCUUCCUGGCCCCACAGCCUAUGUCAUCCUCAAGUUCAACAUGACAGACACCUUUGUAUGUUCCAGGCCUUGUCACUUGGAUCUUAGUUGGAGUGAAUGUUUGUCUGGACCAAAGGGAGAGCCGACUGAGGAGGGUUCUGGGUGACCUGGGUCCCAACCUUUCUGGUUGGCCUGUGCCACCUCUGGCCACAGAGUUUGAGUCAGAGUGGCUACAGCAGAGUCAGGCUGUCUAGCACCUAGCAAGGUGCCUUUGUACCUCAGAUGUUUUAGGUGUGAGGUGUUUUAGUGAACCAAAGUUUUGAUACCUUGUUUACAUAUUUGUUUUUAUGGCAUUUCUAUCAAUGUGGCUUUAACCAAAAAAUAAAAUGUCCCUGCCAGAAGCCUUAAA